GAGGGGAAAAAAAUAAGAUUAACCUCAGUUUACUGCUCUAAAGUUUUGUGGUUUUCAACAUUUAAUACAUGAAGUUUUUUUCAUCCCAGAGUCAUACCUUAAGUCUUAAUUUUGAGAUAGUAUCAUACAUCCGUUAACCUGGCUAUUAAGUCAGCUAUUAACUGGUAACUUAAUAGCUAUCUGUAAGUUUUAUACAAAAGUACCUUUUUUUUAAGAAAAUAGGAAAAAUAAAUAUCCGGACAGCUGUAAGUUUUAUACAAAAGUACCUUUUUUUUUUUUUGACAAAAGUAUUUUGGUAGCUUAAUUGGCGGGAGGGGGGAGAAAGAAAAAAAAAUAGUUAAUCUCAGUUUACUACUCUAAAAUUUUGUGGUUUUCAACAUUUGGUACAUGAAGUAUUUUCAUCCCAGAGUCAUACCUGAAGUCUUAAUUUUGGGACAGUAUCAUACAUCAUUUAACCUGGCUAUUAAGUCAGCUGUUAACUGGUGACGUGGCACCCACAUGGAUAAUGACAUGGUGUCAUGUGUCAAUAUGGACCCACAUAAAUAUUAAAAAAUUAAAAUUAAAAAAACUAAACAAAUAAAAAUUGGCCUA
rnacentral:lncRNA from 1 species